rnacentral:lncRNA from 1 species
GAAAUGUAAGAACCUUUCUAUUCUACUAUUCCAAAAGUAAAGAUGUUCUUGGGAUCAAGUCAGUACAAUGCAUAAUUUCAACAUGUCCUUGUGGGAUGAUGGGAAAGAGCCUCUUUGUGUGCCUGUCUAUGUAGUUUGCUGGUUGACAGAUAUCUCAAGAGUCGCCAUAUGCAGUACGAAGAAUUGGACAACCUAUUAUUGGAUCUUCAUCGGUUUUCAGGUGAGAAUUGUUUUUGAUGAGUUUCAGAGUACUUCCAAGAAGUUGGAAAACAACCUUUGGUCUAGGAGGAAGUCCUACCAAUUGUGAGUGAAUCCAUUAAAGAAUGAAAUUGGCUGAUGUGAUUGGAAAGAGAAAUGUUUAGAAAUAUGUGGGAUGUGGGAGACCUGUCGUUUGCUUUAUGAUUCACAGGCUGAGGAUUUCUUCAGGGGACAACUGGCUAACUAAAGAGGUCUGUGUUGCUUUCUUCUUUAAAUGUAAUGGAUUUUAUUGUGUAAAAGUAUGGGAUAAUAUUUGUAAUGUUGUUGCGGGAGGGUUGUGUCUCUUUUUUUUUUCUAACCAAUAGUUUCAAAGAAGAGAGAAGAGCAUCUUCUUCUAUAGAGAAAUUGAAAUGUAAGAACCUUUCUAUUCUACUAUUACAAAAGUAAAGAUGUUCUUGGGAUAAAGUCAGUACAAUGCAUAAUUUCAACAUGUCCUUGUGGGAUGAUGGGAAAGAGCCUCUUUGUGUGCCUGUCUAUGUAGUUUGCUGCUUGACAGAUAUCUCAAGAGUCGCCAUAUGCAGUACGAAGAAUUGGACAACGUACUAUUGGAUCUUCAUCGGUUUUCAGGUGAGAAUUGUUUUUGAUGAGUUUCAGAGUACUUGAAGAAGUUGGAAAACAACCUUUGGUCUAGGAGGAAGUCCUACCAAUUGUGAGUGAAUCCAUUAAAGAAUGAAAUUGGCUGAUGUGAUUGGAAAGAGAAAUGUUUAGAAAUAUGUGGGGGACCUGUCAUUUGCUUUAUGAUUCACAGGCUGAGGAUUUCUUCAGGGGACAACUGGCUAGCUAUAGAGGUCUGUGUUGCUUUCUUCUUUAAAUGUAAUGGAUUUUAUUGUGUGAAAGUAUUGGAUAAUAUUUGUAUUGUUGUUGCGGGAGGGUUGUUUCUCUUUUUUUUUCUAACCAAUAGUUUAAAAGAAGAGAAAAGAGCAUCUUCUUCUAUAGAGAAAUUGAAAUGUAAGAAACUUUCUAUUCUGCUAUUCCAAAAGUAAAGAUGUUCUUGGGAUCAAGUCAGUACAAUGCAUAAUUUCAACAUGUCCUUGUGGGAUGAUGGGAAAGAGCCUCUUUGUGUGCCUGUCUAUGUAGUUUGCUGGUUGACAGAUAUCUCAAGAGUCGCCAUAUGCAGUACGAAGAAUUGGACAACCUAUUAUUGGAUCUUCAUCGGUUUUCAGGUGAGAAUUGUUUUUGAUGAGUUUCAGAGUACUUCCAAGAAGUUGGAAAACAACCUUUGGUCUAGGAGGAAGUCCUACCAAUUGUGAGUGAAUCCAUUAAAGAAUGAAAUUGGCUGAUGUGAUUGGAAAGAGAAAUGUUUAGAAAUAUGUGGGAGACCUGUCGUUUGCUUUAUGAUUCACAGGCUGAGGAUUUCUUCAGGGGACAACUGGCUAACUAAAGAGGUCUAUGUUGCUUUCUUCUUUAAAUGUAAUGGAUUUUAUUGUGUAAAAGUAUGGGAUAAUAUUUGUAUUGUUGCGGGAGGGUUGUUUCUCUUUUUUUUUUCUAACCAAUAGUUUCAAAGAAGAGAAGAGCAUCUUCUUCUAUAGAGAAAUUGAAAUGUAAGAACCUUUCUAUUCUACUUUUCCAAAAGUAAAGAUGUUCUUGGGAUAAAGUCAGUACAAUGCAUAAUUUCAACAUGUCCUUGUGGGAUGAUGGGAAAGAGCCUCUUUGUGUGCCUGUCUAUGUAGUUUGCUGCUUGACAGAUAUCUCAAGAGUCGCCUUAUGCAGUACGAAGAAUUGGACAACGUAAUAUUGGAUCUUCAUCGGUCUUCAGGUGAGAAUUGUUUUUGAUGAGUUUCAGAGUCUCUCAAGAAGUUGGAAAACAACCUUUGGUCUAGGAGGAAGUCCUACCAAUUGUGAGUGAAUCCAUUAAAGAAUGAAAUUGGCUGAUGUGAUUGGAAAGCGAAAUGUUUAGAAAUAUGUGGGAUGUGGGAGACCUGUAGUUUGCUUUAUGAUUCACAGGCUGAGGAUUUCUUCAGGGGACAACUGGCUAGCUAAAGAGGUCUGUGUUGCUUUCUUCUUUAAAUGUAAUGGAUUUUAUUGUGUAAAAGUAUGGGAUAAUAUUUGUAUUGUUGCUGUGGGAGGGUUGUUUCUCUUUUUUUUUCUAACCAAUAGUUUCAAAGAAGAGAGAAGAGCAUCUUCUUCUAUAGAGAAAUUGAAAUGUAAGAACCUUUCUAUUCUACUUUUCCAAAAGUAAAGAUGUUCUUGGGAUAAAGUCAGUACAAUGCAUAAUUUCAACAUGUCCUUGUGGAAUGAUGGGAAAGAGCCUCUUUGUGUGCCUGUCUAUGUAGUUUGCUGGUUGACAGAUAUCUCAAGAGUCGCCAUAUGCAGUACGAAGAAUUGGACAACGUAUUAUUGGAUCUUCAUCGGUUUUCAGGUGAGAAUUGUUUUUGAUGAGUUUCAGAGUCUCUCAAGAAGUUGGAAAACAACCUUUGGUCUAGGAGGAAGUCCUACCAAUUGUGAGUGAAUCAAUUAAAGAAUGAAAUUGGCUGAUGUGAUUGGAAAGAGAAAUGUUUAGAAAUAUGUGGGAUGUGGGAGACCUGUCGUUUGCUUUAUGAUUCACAGGUUGAGGAUUUCUUCAGGGGACAACUGGCUAACUAAAGAGGUCUGUGUUGCUUUCUUCUUUAAAUGUAAUGGAUGUUAUUGUGUAAAAGUAUGGGAUAAUAUUUGUAUUGUUGCGGGAGGGUUGUUUCUCUUUUUUUUUCUAACCAAUAGUUUCAAAGAAGAGAAGAGCAUCUUCUUCUAUAGAGAAAUUGAAACGUAAGAACCUUUCUAUUCUACUAUUCCAAAAGUAAAGAUGUUCUUGGGAUAAAGUCAGUACAAUGCAUAAUUUCAACAUGUCCUUGUGGGAUGAUGGGAAAGAGCCUCUUUGUGUGCCUGUCUAUGUAGUUUGCUGCUUGACAGAUAUCUCAAGAGUCGCCUUAUGCAGUACGAAGAAUUGGACAACGUAUUAUCAGAUCUUCAUCGGUUUUCAGGUGAGAAUUGUUUUUGAUGAGUUUCAGAGUCUCUUAAGAAGUUGGAAAACAACCUUUGGUCUAGGAGGAAGUCCUACCAAUUGUGAGUGAAUCCAUUAAAGAAUGAAAUUGGCUGAUGUGAUUGGAAAGCGAAAUGUUUGGAAAUAUGUCGGAUGUGGGAGACCUGUCGUUUGCUUUAUGAUUCACAGGCUGAGGAUUUCUUCAGGGGACAACUGGCUAGCUAUAGAGGUCUGUGUUGCUUUCUUCUUUAAAAGUAUUGGAUAAUAUUUGUAUUGUUGUUGCGGGAGGGUUGUUUCUCUUUUUUUUUCUAACCAAUAGUUUCAAAGAAGAGAAAAGAGCAUCUUCUUCUAUAGAGAAAUUGAAAUGUAAGAAACUUUCUAUUCUGCUAUUCCAAAAGUAAAGAUGUUCUUGGGAUCAAUUCAGUACAAUGCAUAAUUUCAACAUGUCCUUGUGGGAUGAUGGGAAAGAGCCUCUUUGUGUGCCUGUCUAUGUAGUUUGCUGGUUGACAGAUAUCUCAAGAGUCGCCAUAUGCAGUACGAAGAAUUGGACAACCUAUUAUUGGAUCUUCAUCGGUUUUCAGGUGAGAAUUGUUUUUGAUGAGUUUCAGAGUCUCUCAAGAAGUUGGAAAACAACCUUUGGUCUAGGAGGAAGUCCUACCAAUUGUGAGUGAAUCAAUUCAAGAAUGAAAUUGGCUGAUGUGAUUGGAAAGAGAAAUGUUUAGAAAUAUGUGGGAUGUGGGAGACCUGUCGUUUGCUUUAUGAUUCACAGGCUGAGGAUUUCUUCAGUGGACAACUGGCUAGCUAAAGAGGUCUGUGUUGCUUUCUUCUUUAAAUGUAAUGGAUGUUAUUGUGUAAAAGUAUGGGAUAAUAUUUGUAUUGUUGCGGGAGGGUUGUUUCUCUUUUUUUUUUCUAACCAAUAGUUUAAAAGAAGAGAAGAGCAUCUUCUUCUAUAGAGAAAUUGAAAUGUAAGAACCUUUCUAUUCUACUAUUCCAAAAGUAAAGAUGUUCUUGGGAUCAAGUCAGUACAAUGCAUAAUUUCAACAUGUCCUUGUGGGAUGAUGGGAAAGAGCCUCUUUGUGUGCCUGUCUAUGUAGUUUGCUGGUUGACAGAUAUCUCAAGAGUCGCCAUAUGCAGUACGAAGAAUUGGACAACCUAUUAUUGGAUCUUCAUCAGUUUUCAGGUGAGAAUUGUUUUUGAUGAGUUUCAGAGUACUUCAAGAAGUUGGAAAACAACCUUUGGUCUAGGAGGAAGUCCUACCAAUUGUGAGUGAAUCCAUUAAAGAAUGAAAUUGGCUGAUGUGAUUGGAAAGAGAAAUGUUUAGAAAUAUGUGGGAUGUGGGAGACCUGUCGUUUGCUUUAUGAUUCACAGGCUGAGGAUUUCUUCAGGGGACAACUGGCUAGCUAAAGAGGUCUGUGUUGCUUUCUUCUUUAAAUGUAAUGGAUUUUAUUGUGUAAAAGUAUGGGAUAAUAUUUGUAUUGUUGUGGGAGGGUUGUUUCUCUUUUUUUUUCUAACCAAUAGUUUCAAAGAAGAGAGAAGAGCAUCUUCUUCUAUUGAGAAAUUGAAAUGUAAGAACCUUUCUAUUCUACUAUUCCAAAAGUAAAGAUGUUCUUGGGAUAAAGUCAGUACAAUGCAUAAUUUCAACAUGUCCUUGUGGGAUGAUGGGAAAGAGCCUCUUUGUGUGCCUGUCUAUGUAGUUUGCUGCUUGACAGAUAUCUCAAGAGUCGCCUUAUGCAGUACGAAGAAUUGGACAACGUAUUAUUGGAUCUUCAUCGGUUUUCAGGUGAGAAUUGUUUUUGAUGAGUUUCAGAGUCUCUCAAGAAGUUGGAAAACAACCUUUGGUCUAGGAGGAAGUCCUACCAAUUGUGAGUGAAUCCAUUAAAGAAUGAAAUUGGCUCAUGUGAUUGGAAAGCGAAAUGUUUAGAAAUAUGUGGGAUGUGGGAGACCUGUCGUUUGCUUUAUGAUUCACAGGCUGAGGAUUUCUUCAGGGGACAACUGGCUAGCUAAAGAGGUCUGUGUUGCUUUCUUCUUUAAAUGUAAUGGAUUUUAUUGUGUGAAAGUAUGGGAUAAUAUUUGUAAUGUUGUUGCGGGAGGGUUGUGUCUCUUUUUUUUUCUAACCAAUAGUUUCAAAGAAGAGAGAAGAGCAUCUUCUAUUGAGAAAUUGAAAUGUAAGAACCUUUCUAUUCUACUAUUCCAAAAGUAAAGAUGUUCUUGGGAUAAAGUCAGUACAAUGCAUAAUUUCAACAUGUCCUUGUGGGAUGAUGGGAAAGAGCCUCUUUGUGUGCCUGUCUAUGUAGUUUGCUGCUUGACAGAUAUCUCAAGAGUCGCCUUAUGCAGUACGAAGAAUUGGACAACGUAUUAUUGGAUCUUCAUCGGUUUUCAGGUGAGAAUUGUUUUUGAUGAGUUUCAGAGUCUCUCAAGAAGUUGGAAAACAACCUUUGGUCUAGGAGGAAGUCCUACCAAUUGUGAGUGACUCCAUUAAUGAAAGAAUUUGGCUGAUGUGAUUGGAAAGCGAAAUGUUUGGAAAUAUGUGGGAUGUGGGAGACCUGUCGUUUGCUUUAUGAUUCACAGGCUGAGGAUUUCUUCAUGGGACAACUGGCUAGCUAAAGAGGUCUGUGUUGCUUUCUUCUUUAAAUGUAAUGGAUUUUAUUGUGUGAAAGUAUGGGAUAAUAUUUGUAUUGUUGUUGCGGGAGGGUUGUUUCUCUUUUUUUUUCUUCUAACCAAUAGUUUCAAAGAAGAGAGAAGAGCAUCUUCUUCUAUAGAGAAAUUGAAAUGUAAGAACCUUUCUAUUCUACUAUUCCAAAAGUAAAGAUGUUCUUGGGAUAAAGUCAGUACAAUGCCUAAUUUCAACGUGUCCUUGUGGGAUGAUGGGAAAGAGCCUCUUUGUGUGCCUGUCUAUGUAGUUUGCUGCUUGACAGAUAUCUCAAGAAUCGCCUUAUGCAGUACGAAGAAUUGGACAACGUAUUAUUGGAUCUUCAUCGGUUUUCAGGUGAGAAUUGUUUUUGAUGAGUUUCAGAGUCUCUCAAGAAGUUGGAAAACAACCUUUGGUCUAGGAGAAAGUCCUACCAAUGGUGAGUGAAUCCAUUAAAGAAUGAAAUUGGCUCAUGUGAUUGGAAAGCGAAAUGUUUAGAAAUAUGUGGGAUGUGGGAGACCUGUCGUUUGCUUUAUGAUUCACAGGCUGAGGAUUUCUUCAGGGGACAACUGGCUAGCUAAAGAGGUCUGUGUUGCUUUCUUCUUUAAAUGUAAUGGAUUUUAUUGUGUAAAAGUAUGGGAUAAUAUUUGUAUUGUUGUUGCGGGAGGGUUGUUUCUCUUUUUUUUUUCUAACCAAUAGUUUCAAAGAAGAGAGAAGAGCAUCUUCUAAUAUUGAGAAAUUGAAAUGUAAGAACCUUUCUAUUCUACUAUUCCAAAAGUAAAGAUGUUCUUGGGAUAAAGUCAGUACAAUGCAUAAUUUCAACAUGUCCUUGUGGGAUGAUGGGAAAGAGCCUCUUUGUGUGCCUGUCUAUGUAGUUUGCUGCUUGACAGAUAUCUCAAGAGUCGCCAUAUGCAGUACGAAGAAUUGGACAACGUACUAUUGGAUCUUCAUCGGUUUUCAGGUGCGAAUUGUUUUUGAUGAGUUUCAGAGUACUUGAAGAAGUUGGAAAACAACCUUUGGUCUAGGAGGAAGUCCUACCAAUUGUGAGUGAAUCCAUUAAAGAAUGAAAUUGGCUGAUGUGAUUGGAAAGAGAAAUGUUUAGAAAUAUGUGGGGGACCUGUCAUUUGCUUUAUGAUUCACAGGCUGAGGAUUUCUUCAGGGGACAACUGGCUAGCUAUAGAGGUCUGUGUUGCUUUCUUCUUUAAAUGUAAUGGAUUUUAUUGUGUAAAAGUAUUGGAUAAUAUUUGUAUUGUUGUUGCGGGAGGGUUGUUUCUCUUUUUUUUUUUAACCAAUAGUUUCAAAGAAGAGAGAAGAGCAUCUUCUUCUAUAGAGAAAUUGAAAUGUAAGAACCUUUCUAUUCUACUUUUCCAAAAGUAUUGCCUUUUGGGAUAAAGUCAGUACAAUGCAUACUUCUACAUGUCCUUUUGUGGGAUGAUGGAAAGAGCUUCCUUGUGUGCCUGUCUAUGUAGUUUGCUGCUUGACAGAUAUCUCUGUAAGAGCCUUUGUGGCGCAGUAAUGGAAGAAUCGGACAAAUCUAAUAUUGGAUCUUCAUCGUUUUCAGGUGAGAAUUGUUUUGAAGGAGUUUCAGAGUCUCCUCAAGAAGUUGAACAUGAAAAUCCCUUUGGUCUAGGAGGGAAGUCCACUCUCAAUUGUGAGGAAUCCAUUAAAGAAUGAAAUUGGCUCAUGUGAUUGGAAAGCGAAAUGUUUAGAAAUAUGUGGGAUGUGGGAGACCUGUCGUUUGCUUUAUGAUUCACAGGCUGAGGAUUUCUUCAGGGGACAACUGGCUAACUAAAGAGGUCUGUGUUGCUUUCUUCUUUAAAUGUAAUGGAUGUUAUUGUGUAAAAGUAUGGGAUAAUAUUUGUAUUGUUGCGGGAGGGUUGUUUCUCUUUUUUUUUUCUAGCCAAUAGUUUCAAAGAAGAGAAGAGCAUCUUCUUCUAUAGAGAAAUUGAAACGUAAGAACCUUUCUAUUCUACUAUUCCAAAAGUAAAGAUGUUCUUGGGAUAAAGUCAGUACAAUGCAUAAUUUCAACAUGUCCUUGUGGGAUGAUGGGAAAGAGCCUCUUUGUGUGCCUGUCUAUGUAGUCUGCUGCUUGACAGAUAUCUCAAGAGUCGCCUUAUGCAGUACGAAGAAUUGGACAAUGUAUUAUUGGAUCUUCAUCGGUUUUCAGGUGAGAAUUGUUUUGAUGAGUUUCAAGGUACUUGAAGAGGUUGAAACUUUAACCUUGCUCUAGGAGGAAGUACAAUUGUGGGUAGAUACAUUAAAAGAAUGAAAUUGGCUGAUAGCGUUGGAAGAAGAAAUGUUUAGAAAUAUGUGGGAUGUGGGGAGGCCUGUGUUUGCUUUUAUGAUUCACAGGCUGGUUUCUUUGAGGGGACAACUGGCUAACUAAAAGAGGUCUGUGUUGCUUUCUUCUUUAAAUAUGUGGAUGUUAUUGUGUAAAGGAAGUAGGGAUAAUAUUUGUAUUGUUGUUGCGGGAGGGUUGUUUCUCUUUUUUUUUCUAACCAAUAGUUUCAAAGAAGAGAAGAGCAUCUUCUUCUAUAGAGAAAUUGAAAUGUAAGAACCUUUCUAUUCUAUUAUUCCAAAAGUAAAGAUGUUCUUGGGAUAAAAUCAGUACAAUGCAUAAUUUCAACAUGUCCUUGUGGGAUGAUGGGAAAGAGCCUCUUUGUGUGCCUGUCUAUGUAGUUUGCUGCUUGACAGAUAUCUCAAGAGUCGCCUUAUGCAGUACGAAGAAUUGGACAACUUAUUAUUGGAUCUUCAUCGGUUUUCAGGUGUGAAUUGUUUUUGAUGAGUUUCAGAGUCUCUCAAGAAGUUGGAAAACAACCUUUGGUCUAGGAAGUCCACCACCAAUUAUUGAGUGAAUCCAUUAAAGAAUGAGAAUUGGCUGAUAAUGAUUGGAAGCGAAAUGUUUAAAUAUGUGGGGAGACCUGUCGUUUGCUUUAUGAUUCACAGGCUGAGGAUUUCUUCAGGGGACAACUGGCUAACUAAAGAGGUCUGUGUUGCUUUCUUCUUUAAAUGUAAUGGAUGUUAUUGUGUAAAAGUAUGGGAUAAUAUUUGUAUUGUUGUUGCGGGAGGGUUGUUUCUCUUUUUUUUCUUCUAACCAAUAGUUUCAAAGAAGAGAGAAGAGCAUCUUCUUCUAUAGAGAAAUUGAAAUGUAAGAACCUUUCUAUUCUACUAUUCCAAAAGGAAAGAUGUUCUUGGGAUAAAAUCAGUACAAUGCAUAAUUUCAACAUGUCCUUGUGGGAUGAUGGGAAAGAGCCUCUUUGUGUGCCUGUCUAUGUAGUUUGCUGCUUGACAGAUAUCUCAAGAGUCGCCUUAUGCAGUACGAAGAAUUGGACAACGUAUUAUCGGAUCUUCAUUGGUUUUCAGGUGAGAAUUGUUUUUGAUGAGUUUCAGAGUACUUCAAGAAGUUGGAAAACAACCUUUGGUCUAGGAGGAAGUCCUACCAAUUGUGAGUGAAUCCAUUAAAGAAUGAAAUUGGCUGAUGUGAUUGGAAAGCGAAAUGUUUAGAAAUAUGUGGGAGACCUGUCGUUUGCUUUAUGAUUCACAGGCUGAGGAUUUCUUCAGGGGACAACUGGCUAACUAAAGAGGUCUAUGUUGCUUUCUUCUUUAAAUGUAAUGGAUUUUAUUGUGUAAAAGUAUGGGAUAAUAUUUGUAUUGUUGCGGGAGGGUUGUUUCUCUUUUUUUUUUCUAACCAAUAGUUUCAAAGAAGAGAAGAGCAUCUUCUUCUAUAGAGAAAUUGAAAUGUAAGAACCUUUCUAUUCUACUUUUCCAAAAGUAAAGAUGUUCUUGGGAUAAAGUCAGUACAAUGCAUAAUUUCAACAUGUCCUUGUGGGAUGAUGGGAAAGAGCCUCUUUGUGUGCCUGUCUAUGUAGUUUGCUGCUUGACAGAUAUCUCAAGAGUCGCCUUAUGCAGUACGAAGAAUUGGACAACGUACUAUUGGAUCUUCAUCGGUUUUCAGGUGAGAAUUGUUUUUGAUGAGUUUCAGAGUACUUGAAGAAGUUGGAAAACAACCUUUGGUCUAGGAGGAAGUCCUACCAAUUGUGAGUGAAUCCAUUAAAGAAUGAAAUUGGCUGAUGUGAUUGGAAAGCGAAAUGUUUGGAAAUAGGUGGGAUGUGGGAGACCUGUCGUUUGCUUUAUGAUUCACAGGCUGAGGAUUUCUUCAGGGGACAACUGGCUAGCUAUAGAGGUCUGUGUUGCUUUCUUCUUUAAAUGUAAUGGAUUUUAUUGUGUAAAGUAUUGGAUAAUAUUUGUAUUGUUGUUGCGGGAGGGUUGUUUCUCUUUUUUUUUCUAACCAAUAGUUUCAAAGAAGAGAGAAGAGCAUCUUCUUCUAUAGAGAAAUUGAAAUGUAAGAACCUUUCUAUUCUACUAUUCCAAAAGUAAAGAUGUUCUUGGGAUAAAGUCAGUACAAUGCAUAAUUUCAACAUGUCCUUGUGGGAUGAUGGGAAAGAGCCUCUUUGUGUGCCUGUCUAUGUAGUUUGCUGGUUGACAGAUAUCUCAAGAGUCGCCAUAUGCAGUACGAAGAAUUGGACAACCUAUUAUUGGAUCUUCAUCGGUUUUCAGGUGAGAAUUGUUUUUGAUGAGUUUCAGAGUACUUCAAGAAGUUGGAAAACAACCUUUGGUCUAGGAGGAAGUCCUACCAAUUGUGAGUGAAUCCAUUAAAGAAUGAAAUUGGCUGAUGUGAUUGGAAAGAGAAAUGUUUAGAAAUAUGUGGGAUGUGGGAGACCUGUCGUUUGCUUUAUGAUUCACAGGCUGAGGAUUUCUUCAGGGGACAACUGGCUAACUAAAGAGGUCUGUGUUGCUUUCUUCUUUAAAUGUAAUGGAUUUUAUUGUGUAAAAGUAUGGGAUAAUAUUUGUAUUGUUGUUGCGGGAGGGUUGUUUCUCUUUUUUUUUUCUAACCAAUAGUUUCAAAGAAGAGAGAAGAGCAUCUUCUUCUAUAGAGAAAUUGAAAUGUAAGAACCUUUCUAUUCUACUUUUCCAAAAGUAAAGAUGUUCUUGGGAUAAAGUCAGUACAAUGCAUAAUUUCAACAUGUCCUUGUGGGAUGAUGGGAAAGAGCCUCUUUGUGUGCCUGUCUAUGUAGUUUGCUGGUUGACAGAUAUCUCAAGAGUCGCCAUAUGCAGUACGAAGAAUUGGACAACCUAUUAUUGGAUCUUCAUCGGUUUUCAGGUGAGAAUGGUUUUUGAUGAGUUUCAGAGUCUCUUAAGAAGUUGGAAAAAAACCUUUGGUCUAGGAGGAAGUCCUACCAAUUGUGAGUGAAUCCAUUAAAGAAUGAAAUUGGCUGAUGUGAUUGGAAAGAGAAAUAUGUGGGAUGUGGGAGACCUGUCGUUUGCUUUAUGAUUCACAGGCUGAGGAUUUCUUCAGGGGACAACUGGCUAACUAAAGAGUUCUGUGUUGCUUUCUUCUUUAAAUGUAAUGGAUGUUAUUGUGUAAAAGUAUGGGAUAAUAUUUGUAUUGUUGCGGUAGGGUUGUUUCUCUUUUUUUUUUCUAACCAAUAGUUUCAAAGAAGAGAAGAGCAUCUUCUUCUAUAGAGAAAUUGAAAUCGUAAGAACCUUUCUAUUCUACUAUUCCAAAAGUAAAGAUGUUCUUGGGAUAAAGUCAGUACAAUGCAUAAUUUCAACAUGUCCUUGUGGGAUGAUGGGAAAGAGCCUCUUUGUGUGCCUGUCUAUGUAGUUUGCUGCUUGACAGAUAUCUCAAGAGUCGCCAUAUGCAGUACGAAGAAUUGGACAACGUACUAUCGGAUCUUCAUCGGUUUUCAGGUGAGAAUUAUUUUUGAUGAGUUUCAGAGUACUUCAAGAAGUUGGAAAACAACCUUUGGUCUAGGAGAAAGUCCUACCAAUUGUGAGUGAAUCCAUUAAAGAAUGAAAUUGGCUGAUGUGAUUGGAAAGAGAAAUGUUUAGAAAUAUGUGGGAUGUGGGAGACCUGUCGUUUGCUUUAUGAUUCACAGGCUGAGGAUUUCUUCAGGGGACAACUGGCUAACUAAAGAGGUCUGUGUUGCUUUCUUCUUUAAAUGUAAUGGAUGUUAUUGUGUAAAAGUAUGGGAUAAUAUUUGUAUUGUUGCGGGAGGGUUGUUUCUCUUUUUUUUUUCUAACCAAUAGUUUCAAAGAAGAGAAGAGCAUCUUCUUCUAUAGAGAAAUUGAAAUGUAAGAACCUUUCUAUUCUACUAUUCCAAAAGUAAAGAUGUUCUUGGGAUAAAGUCAGUACAAUGCAUAAUUUCAACAUGUCCUUGUGGGAUGAUGGGAAAGAGCCUCUUUGUGUGCCUGUCUAUGUAGUUUGCUGCUUGACAGAUAUCUCAAGAGUCGCCUUAUGCAGUACGAAGAAUUGGACAACGUAUUAUUGGAUCUUCAUCGGUUUUCAGGUGAGAAUUGUUUUUGAUGAGUUUCAGAGUCUCUCAAGAAGUUGGAAAACAACCUUUGGUCUAGGAGGAAGUCCUACCAAUUGUGAGUGAAUCCAUUAAAGAAUGAAAUUGGCUGAUGUGAUUGGAAAGCGAAAUGUUUAGAAAUAUGUGGGAUGUGGGAGACCUGUCGUUUGCUUUAUGAUUCACAGGCUGAGGAUUUCUUCAGGGGACAACUGGCUAGCUAAAGAGGUCUGUGUUGCUUUCUUCUUUAAAUGUAAUGGAUUUUAUUGUGUAAAAGUAUGGGAUAAUAUUUGUAUUGUUGCGGGAGGGUUGUUUCUCUUUUUUUUUUCUAACCAAUAGUUUCAAAGAAGAGAGAAGAGCAUCUUCUUCUAUAGAGAAAUUGAAAUGUAAGAACCUUUCUAUUCUACUAUUCCAAAAGUAAAGAUGUUCUUGGGAUAAAGUCAGUACAAUGCAUAAUUUCAACAUGUCCUUGUGGGAUGAUGGGAAAGAGCCUCUUUGUGUGCCUGUCUAUGUAGUUUGCUGCUUGACAGAUAUCUCAAGAGUCGCCUUAUGCAGUACGAAGAAUUGGACAACGUAUUAUUGGAUCUUCAUCGGUUUUCAGGUGAGAAUUGUUUUUGAUGAGUUUCAGAGUACUUCAAGAAGUUGGAAAACAACCUUUGGUCUAGGAGGAAGUCCUACCAAUUGUGAGUGAAUCCAUUAAAGAAUGAAAUUGGCUGAUGUGAUUGGAAAGAGAAAUGUUUAGAAAUAUGUGGGAUGUGGGAGACCUGUCGUUUGCUUUAUGAUUCACAGGCUGAGGAUUUCUUCAGGGGACAACUGGCUAGCUAAAGAGGUCUGUGUUGCUUUCUUCUUUAAAUGUAAAUGUUAUUGUGUAAAAGUAUGGGAUAAUAUUUGUAUUGUUGUUGCGGGAGGGUUGUUUCUCUUUUUUUUUCUAACCAAUAGUUUCAAAGAAGAGAAGAGCAUCUUCUUCUAUAGAGAAAUUGAAAUGUAAGAACCUUUCUAUUCUACUAUUCCAAAAGUAAAGAUGUUCUUGGGAUCAAGUCAGUACAAUGCAUAAUUUCAACAUGUCCUUGUGGGAUGAUGGGAAAGAGCCUCUUUGUGUGCCUGUCUAUGUAGUUUGCUGCUUGACAGAUAUCUCAAGAGUCGCCAUAUGCAGUACGAAGAAUUGGACAACGUAUUAUUGGAUCUUCAUCGGUUUUCAGGUGAGAAUUGUUUUUGAUGAGUUUCAGAGUCUCUCAAGAAGUUGGAAAACAACCUUUGGUCUAGGAGGAAGUCCUACCAAUUGUGAGUGAAUCCAUUAAAGAAUGAAAUUGGCUGAUGUGAUUGGAAAGAGAAAUGUUUAGAAAUAUGUGGGAUGUGGGAGACCUGUCGUUUGCUUUAUGAUUCACAGGCUGAGGAUUUCUUCAGGGGACAACUGGCUAGCUAAAGAGGUCUGUGUUGCUUUCUUCUUUAAAUGUAAUGGAUUUUAUUGUGUAAAAGUAUGGGAUAAUAUUUGUAUUGUUGCGGGAGGGUUGUUUCUCUUUUUUUUUUCUAACCAAUAGUUUCAAAGAAGAGAAGAGCAUCUUCUUCUAUAGAGAAAUUGAAAUGUAAGAACCUUUCUAUUCUACUAUUCCAAAAGUAAAGAUGUUCUUGGGAUCAAGUCAGUACAAUGCAUAAUUUCAACAUGUCCUUGUGGGAUGAUGGGAAAGAGCCUCUUUGUGUGCCUGUCUAUGUAGUUUGCUGCUUGACAGAUAUCUCAAGAGUCGCCAUAUGCAGUACGAAGAAUUGGACAACCUAUUAUUGGAUCUUCAUCGGUUUUCAGGUGAGAAUUGUUUUUGAUGAGUUUCAGAGUACUUCAAGAAGUUGGAAAACAACCUUUGGUCUAGGAGGAAGUCCUACCAAUUGUGAGUGAAUCCAUUAAAGAAUGAAAUUGGCUGAUGUGAUUGGAAAGAGAAAUGUUUAGAAAUAUGUGGGAGACCUGUCGUUUGCUUUAUGAUUCACAGGCUGAGGAUUUCUUCAGGGGACAACUGGCUAGCUAUAGAGGUCUGUGUUGCUUUCUUCUUUAAAUGUAAUGGAUUUUAUUGUGUAAAAGUAUUGGAUAAUAUUUGUAUUGUUGUUGCGGGAGGGUUGUUUUUCUUUUUUUUUCUAACCAAUAGUUUCAAAGAAGAGAAAAGAGCAUCUUCUUCUAUAGAGAAAUUGAAAUGUAAGAACCUUUCUAUUCUACUUUUCCAAAAGUAAAGAUGUUCUUGGGAUAAAGUCAGUACAAUGCAUAAUUUCAACAUGUCUUUGUGGGAUGAUGGGAAAGAGCCUCUUUGUGUGCCUGUCUAUGUAGUUUGCUGGUUGACAGAUAUCUCAAGAGUCGCCAUAUGCAGUACGAAGAAUUGGACAACCUAUUAUUGGAUCUUCAUCGGUUUUCAGGUGAGAAUUGUUUUUGAUGAGUUUCAGAGUCUCUUAAGAAGUUGGAAAACAACCUUUGGUCUAGGAGGAAGUCCUACCAAUUGUGAGUGAAUCCAUUAAAGAAUGAAAUUGGCUAAUGUGAUUGGAAAGAGAAAUGUUUAGAAAUAUGUGGGAUGUGGGAGACCUGUCGUUUGCUUUAUGAUUCACAGGCUGAGGAUUUCUUCAGGGGACAACUGGCUAACUAAAGAGGUCUGUGUUGCUUUCUUCUUUAAAUGUAAUGGAUUUUAUUGGGUUAAAGUAUGGGAUAAUAUUUGUAUUGUUGUUGCGGGUUUUUUCUCUUUUUCAGGAGGAGAUGUGAUUGGAAAGAGAAAUUUCUGUAAAUAUGUGGGAAACCUGUUUUUCCUUUAUGGUUCACAGGCUGAACAUUUCUUCAGGGGAGAUCUGGCUAACUAAAGAGUUCUGUGUUGCCUACAUUUUUUAAAUGUAAUCUUUUUUAGCGUCAACAAGCAUGGAUUGCUAGUGGAUUGUUGUUUUGGGAGACCUCUGUGGACAGGUUGAGGAUUGGGUUUAUUAUUGCAUUGUUGUUUCUCCUGUUUUACAGAUUAGCUUCAAAGAAGAAAGAACACCUUGUACAGAAAGAAGAAUUGGUAAGUGGAAGAUGUUAAAGAAAGAUGGACCAUGAAAACCUUAUUUUUGUCUAUACAUCAAAAUUCUUUCAGGUGUUAAUUCUAACAAUGCUUAAUCACUACUUUUUGGCAAGUUUCAAAACGAGCGCAAUCAAUAAAUUUUAUUGUAUUGUUGUUUUAGUAGAAUUUUUCACCGUGGAGAGAAGACAAUCUACCAACACAGAGCCCAGAACUGGUAAUGGUCUCUCUGUUCCUAUAUUAGAAAUCUUUUACGCAAAAAUUAUUGCAUAUAUUUUAAUGUGUACCAAGUUCUGAUUUCACACUGUAACAUAACUUAUUAUGAUCUAAUAUUCAUGGUCCCACCACUGUCCAGACUUGUUUCACUUAGUUAAAUAGCUAUAAUAUAUAUUAAUUGUUACAAUUAUUAAAUGAGGAUUUUUCUUUCAAAUAUUGGUUGUCAUGCUUCUCUAGGUAUUUGAUGGGGCAAGCUAACUCACUCCUCAUAAUUUUGUUACCUAUGCGUGACAAAAUGCCUUUUGUCACUGGAUUUUUAAAUGACCAACUGCCCUUUGCCCUUGGCUGUUGGAGGAGCCUGAUUGCCAGCCUCCUCCCUCGUGACUGUGGCCCUGGGGUGUAUUGCCAUUUAAAAAGACUAUUUGGGGCUUACUGGCUUCUAAAAGACUGUUUCUGCCCAUUUGAAUCCAUGGGAAUAUGUGUCUCUUCCCCUCCCUCGUUUCCUGUCUAUUGUUCCAGCAGGGCGUUGUCCCAGGCACACUGCCAGACCAGUUGGAACUUGCUGUUGCCCCUCCUCUGUCUCUCAUCAGCUCUUGCCAUGUUUUAAAGGACCACUCUAGGCACCCAGACCACUUCAGCUUAAUGAAGUGGUCUGGGUGCCAGGUCCCUCUAGGAUUAACCCUUUUUUUUAUAAACAUAGCAGUUUCAGAGAAACUGCUAUGUUUAUACUGAGGGUUAAUCCAGCCUCCAGAGCCUCUAGUGGCUGUCUCAUUGACAGCCGCUAGAGACGCUUGCGUGCUUCUCACUGUGAAAAUCACAGUGAGAGCACGCAAGCGUCCAUAGGAAAGGAUUGUAAAUGCUUUCCUAUGCGACCGGCUGAAUGCGCGUGCGCAUUCAGCCGAUGACGUCGCGAGCAAGGAGGAGAGGAGGAGUACAGCUCCCCGCCCGGCGCUGGAGAAAGGUAAGUGUUUAACCCCUUCCUCUCUCCAGAGCCCGGCGGGAGGGGGUCCCUGAGGGUGGGAGCACCCUCAGGGCACUAUAGUGCCAGGAAAACAAGUAUGUUUUCCUGGCACUAUAGUGGUCCUUUAACUCCAUGGCGAUUUGACUGUGUUUGUGGCAUCUGAGCACUGUUCGGAUAUAGUGAGCGCCCAAAUCCAAGCUAUCUGGGGAUAGGUUGAAUGUGGGGGUUCUGUUAAGUAUAAUAGGAAUUAUGUAUUUUUAUGUGUUUUUACUGUUGUUGUGAAUAGAGCUAUUUUCUGUAUGCUGGAGGUUAUUGACUUACCACACCCAAGCCAUUCUUGCAGAUGGUCACAAAGGGACUUUCAACUAACUUUUGACCCACUGGACCAAUUUGUAUGAUUUUGGCGUAUGUUUGUAUUUGGAGUAUGCUGAUUUUGAAAAUGUAUGUGAAUGUGAUGUAUACUUUCAGAGUUAUGAAUAUUGUGUAAAACUGUGUAUUUUCCUGCCUGUGAUAAUUAAGUUAGACCAUUGUGUUCAGUAAUUAUAUCACAGGCAGAGGGGAGGUUUUUGUGUGGGGAUGUCUGAGUGUAUUGUAUGUAUUGAUUGGUUGUUCUGCAAAACACUGUGGGCAGUACUGUGUGUGUAAAAUGUGCAUAAAAGCAGAAUGUUUGAUUAAAAGCUACAGUUCUUCUUCACCCUCACACGUAGUCUUGUUUCGUGAUUGGAGGGCACAACUAAACUCACACUGGGGAUUGCUAUGCUCUGCAUACUCCCCUGAGCUGUAAUCACUUAGCUCUUUUAAGAGCUUGUUCCUGUUACGCUCUCCUGGAGAAGAGGUCUUCACCACAAGGUCCUGGAGGACAAAAGUUGAUCCAGGGUGGACGAGGACGGUGAGACUCCAGUUAAGCUACGGUGGUUGUGGUGUCUGGUGUGGUGCUUGUGGUCCUCGGCGCAAGCUAGGAAGCGUCCAUCAACGGAAGGGCUUAUAUGAUACUUGCCAUUGCAAACCUGGAGGCCACAGUCCCUAGUUGUAAAUUUCAACUAUCCAGGGCAAAAUUUACACUCGCUAAUGGUUAACCCCUUAAGGACCAAACUUCUGGAAUAAAAGGGAAUCAUGACAUGUCCCACAUGUCAUGUGUCCUUAAGGGGUUAAAGGAAAGUGGGAAUAUUGAGCUCUGUGUAGCAUAUAAAUCAGUGAGACACGAGGUCUCUAUAAGGAGGCAAGUAAAGUAACCUUUAAAUUGUAAGCUCACAGUCUAUCUUGACAAGUACUUUGUAGAAAAGAGCUUUAAUGGCUAGAUCUCAAGUCAUGGGCAGGGCCUUCAUUACCGUUUGUAUUGAUUUGUGUUUAUUUUACUGUCCUGUUUCUCAUUUGAACAGCUCUGUGGAAAAUGUUAGUUUUUAAUAAAUGCAUUCAUUAUAUGAUCUAAUUGAUGGUGUCUGGCCUUCCAAAUGAAAAUAAUGAUGACAAUCUUUUAGUAGAAUGAUUUGUUUUAGUUAUGUUAAAAACAUUGUGUGGUUAUUAUGAAAUGGUAACCAGAAUUAGUUCAUGUAGACAAUUAAUUUCCGUGUAUAUGUUCUACUGCCAGGCUGGGAACCUUAUGCAUGAAUAUCUGAAACAGCAGCAUCAAACACAGCCCGAAUCAUGUAGACAGUGGGUGCAAAGUCAAGAUAUCCAUGCGUUAAAGGAGAAGAGACUAAACUUUAUUGCUGGAAUUUGAAACAACAUCAAACACAGCCAGAAUCACAUACACAUAGGGAGCUGAGUAGAGAGAUUUGUGGGUUCAUGGAGCAGAGGUUUAACAUUACUGCUCAUUGAAGAAACAAGAUUAUGGCUCAAGAUUAUGCAAAAAAGACUUUUGGUCACAUUUUUCAUCAAAGUCAUCGUUUGGGAUUUACUUUCUACUUCUAAAUGUCUUUUGAGAACAUUUAUGGAACUUUAUUUUUCUGAAUUAAGAAAUUAAACUGUCAUGUUAUCUAAUGUUAUAGUCAUUUGCAAUUUAAUUCUAAGGCUGGAAAUGAUUGGGUAUCACUAAGAAAUAAUUACAGUUUUAAAAAGAAAAGACAAUUCAAAUGAGAACAAAAUACAUUAAAAUGUUAUCAAUGAAA